UACGUAGGAUGCGAGCGUUGUCCGGAAUUAUUGGGCGUAAAGGGCUCGUAGGCGGUUUGUCGCGUCGGGAGUGAAAUCCACUGGCUUAACUGGUGGCUUGCUUUUCGAUACGGGCAGACUGGAGGUAUGCAGGGGGAGAACGGAAUUCCUGGUGUAGCGGUGAAAUGCGCAGAUAUCAGGAGGAACACCGGUGGCGAAGGCGGUUCUCUGGGCCGAGUACUGACGCUGGAGGAGCGAAAGCGUGGGGAGCGAACAGGA
rnacentral:rRNA from 1 species